GCCCGGUAGCUAAAUGCGGAAGAGAUAAGUGCUGAAAGCAUCUAAGCACGAAACUUGCCCCGAGAUGAGUUCUCCCUGAGACUAUAAGUCUCCUGAAGGAACGUUAAAGACUAUGACGUUGAUAGGUCGGGUGUGUAAGUGUAGCGAUACAUUGAGCUAACCGAUACUAAUGAACCGUGAGGCUUAACCUUACAACGCCGAAG
rnacentral:rRNA from 1 species